GUACAGAACUGGCAAACAACGAGGACCAGUUCACUUCACCGAGGCCACAUCUCCAAAAGUAUAUUAGUAGAACUUCUACACGUCUUUCCAGAGUUACUUCUCAUCCACCUCGAUUGCCAGGCUGUAUUCACCAUGCCUUCCAUACUGCAGCUGGGUAAACUACUGAUGGACUUAUAUUCUAGAACUGCAUGUGUUUUGGGUAACCCUGCCUUGGUAUUUCAUAUGAAGCAUGGCGUUCCAUAGACGACAAUGGAAAAAUUACUAACAAAACUAGAUGUAGAAUCUGUGCAAGUCCCAGUUGUCACUUGAAAGUUUUAAUAAAAUCUUCAAUAAA